GACGAACCGUGCGAGCGUUAUUCGGAAUCACUGGGCUUAAAGGGCGCGUAGGCGGGCCACCAAGUCAGGGGUGAAAUCCCACGGCUCAACCGUGGAAGUGCCUUUGAUACUGGUGGCCUCGAGGGAGGCAGGGGCGUGCGGAACUUUGGGUGGAGCGGUGAAAUGCGUAGAUAUCCAAAGGAACACCGGUGGCGAAAGCGGCGCGCUGGACCUCUUCUGACGCUGAGGCGCGAAAGCCAGGGGAGCAAACGGG
rnacentral:rRNA from 1 species